UACAGAGAGUGCAAACGUUGUUCGGAAUUACUGGGCUUGAAGCGCACGUAGGCGGCGUUGUAAGUGUCGGGUGAAAUCCCACGGCUCACCCGUGGAACUGCCCGGCAUACUGCGAUGCUAGAGUGUGGUAGGGGAGAGCAGAACUCCUGGUGGAGCGGUGAAAUGCGUAGAUAUCAGGAGGAACACCGGUGGCGAAGGCGGCUCUCUGGUCCACAACUGACGCUGAGGUGCGAAAGCUAGGGGAGCAAACGGG
rnacentral:rRNA from 1 species